rnacentral:miRNA from 1 species
GAGGUCAGCCAGAACUGCAGAGUGAGACCCUGUUGUUUGUUUGUUUGUUUGUUUGUUUGUUUGUUUGUUUGAGACGGGGUUUCUCUGUGUAGCCCUGGCUAUCCUA